AGGCGCAUCGAGGUCUUCGGAAAUUUAAAAAUUCAAUAACAAUAAACAAGAUUAGAUUUCACAAUAAAUACAUAAUCCUAUUUUUAUAUGAAAUCAUAUCAAUCACAUACUUUCGGGUGACUUUCGUCCAGUCCGCUAGCAAGCAAACGGUCGUAAUGUCCAAGCUUCCUCCAGUAAGUGUUCCGCACCGAAGGAAUACAUGGUGGGUCAACAUUAUGGAUAGGCAUCAUGCUGAUCCUCCUUGAGGACGCACCCGUUGUUGCUGCUGCAGUCGAAUCCAUGGAGUGGAAGCGACAUGCGAAACCAUCAGGAAAAGAUCCGCCGAUGCAAGAAGUGUUUCCGAGAUUUACUUCCUUCUGUGGAGUGAAAGUGGUUCAGCAGCGAUGUUCGGGUGGUUGGAGCGUCUUCUUAUUGCCGCAUCGAGGUCAUUGGAUGGGAUGAGCGCUCCACGUUGAUCCCGAAUUCUGUCCAAGGGGUUGGAAACUCUGACACCUUGUGUGAAACACCCAUUUCACACACCUAAAACACCUUUCGACACCUUUUCGACACCUUUCAUAUGCACCACCAUGAUCAUUUUUUAUUUUACUGGCAUCAUUGUUUUGCCGAUGUUUAUAUUUACAUUUUCAGGCAAUGUUUAUCGUCACCAUCGUCACAGUGCGGAGCAGAACCAGCAACAUCGGACAACCAGGUACGUUUUCUCCGGAGCUUCGAACCGCCGCGUUUAACGGAGUCGAUGCAGCUGAUGGACGAAAUCCUGUCCAACAUCACAUAGACCGGAUGAUGAAAAGCGGCAAGUUAAAGGCGGACAAAAUGACCAGAAGGCGAAGGAAGAACAGUAAAGCUCUCCGCAUUAGAACCAUCACGACGGACUGAUUCCAACGAACCGUCGUCAUAAGUCGCAACCCGGUGCUACCGCUACUUCCUCGCCAGCAGCACAAAGUCGAAAUGAAGGAGGUGGAUUACCCUUCAGCACCGUCGACAUCGUCAUAAGUAAGAUCUUCGAUGUGGAAGUAGUACGGAGAAAAUCGUGAAUAAUAAUCGAUUUGAAUAAGGAUGGCCUUCAUUUUUUGGACGAGAUUUGAACUGGGCCUGAAAGCCAAAAGAGGCUGGUUUGCUUCAUUUAGCCAGUGGUAAUCGAAACGGCGCUUACACCGGAUCAAAAUGAUUCAACUCUUCCGUGGCGAUUCGACUUUGACGACCAUCGCCAUCAAAAGGACUGAAAAGUACGACGGAAGUCCAAUCUCGGCCUUCGGUGGUGAAAACCGGAAACAACCGGAAGCGCUAGUUCAAUUCGAGGACUUCGAUGCGGCUAAAAGUAGAGAGACUACCGCCGGCUGUCAUCUUCGAGAAUCAGCUGUUUCUGUGAGGUUUGCAAGUUGCAAUUUACAAUUUCCGAAGGGAAAACAUCACGAGAACUUCGGAAUCACAUGUCCCAGGAGAUGAAACCAUUAAACGAGCGAUGCAACAAGGAAAUAGUAAAAAUUGGCCAACCACUCGCAACUUCAAUCACCUCGACUAAUGAACGCAACUGUCCCUGGUCAGUUACUACCGAGUUCAAAUGGCACUCGAUCGGAAUACGGAUUCUUAUUUAGUAUCGAUCGAUAAUGCUCGAUACCUCCUAAGAGAAGCGGGAUGAAACCAACGGAAGCACCGGAAUGGAUGAGCACGGUCCCUGAAUCAGAACCCGAGAACGCUUUUAAACCAAAUCUUCCAAGAAACACCAAAUCAAUCCAGGUCUACUCCGGAUUUCCUCCGAAAAGGGUCCGAAACCAACAUAGAAGCCGUCCCACACAGGGGGAGCGAUUUAUGUAAAAAGAAAUUGCUCGAGAAAUCACAGACGCCGGGAGAUUAAAUGCGCCGAGCAGAACCGGAAUAAUAAAUAUUGAGGAGAUCUAUGGUUAGGACACUUUUCCGCGCAGGAAUAUUUAUCAAUUUUGAUUUUUUUUUUUACAUUAAAUUAUUAGUACAUA